CUUCAGCUAUGAGCUUGCACAUUUUCGCGUGCUGGGGUUUAAUAGUCAAUGCAUCUCUGCAUGGAUGAAGCCAAGUCAAGC
rnacentral:ribozyme from 1 species